rnacentral:rRNA from 1 species
AAACUUAAAGGAAUUGACGGGGCCCGCACAAGCGUGGAGCAUGUGGUUAAUUCGACGCAACGCGAAGAACCUUACCAGGGCUUGACAUCCCCUGACCGCGUAUGAAAGUACGUUUUCACCCUCGGGUGACAGGGAGACAGGUGGUGCAUGGUUGUCGUCAGCUCGUGUCGUGAGAUGUUGGGUUAAGUCCCGCAACGAGCGCAACCCCUACGUUUAGUUGCUAACGCGUGAAGGCGAGCACUCUAGACGAACUGCCGUUGACAAAACGGAGGAAGGUGGGAUGACGUCAAAUCAUCAUGCCCCUUAUGUUCUGGGCUACACACGUGCUACAAUGGCCGGUACAGACGGACGCAAAGCCGCGAGGUGGAGCAAAUCCUAAAAAGCCGGUCUCAGUUCGGAUUGCAGGCUGCAAUUCGCCUGCAUGAAGUCGGAAUCGCUAGUAAUCGCAGGUCAGCAUACUGCGGUGAAUACGUUCCCGGGCCUU